CUAGCGGGAGGCUUAACACAUGCAAGUCGAGGGGCAUCACGAGGUAGCAAUACUUUGGUGGCGACCGGCGCACGGGUGAGUAACACGUAUGCAACCUACCCUGUACAGGGGGAUAGCCCGGAGAAAUUCGGAUUAAUACCCCAUGAUUAUAUCGAGAGGCAUCUUUUGAUAUUUAAAGUUUCGACGGUACGGGAUGGGCAUGCGCAACAUUAGCUAGUUGGUAGGGUAACGGCCUACCAAGGCUACGAUGUUUAGGGGACCUGAGAGGGUGAUCCCCCACACUGGUACUGAGACACGGACCAGACUCCUACGGGAGGCAGCAGUGAGGAAUAUUGGUCAAUGGGCGUAAGCCUGAACCAGCCAUCCCGCGUGAAGGAAGAAGGCGCUAUGCGUUGUAAACUUCUUUUCCAGAGGAAGAAAACCCCUGACGUGUCAGGGCUUGCCGGUACUCUGGGAAUAAGCAUCGGCUAACUCCGUGCCAGCAGCCGCGGUAAUACGGAGGAUGCAAGCGUUAUCCGGAUUUAUUGGGUUUAAAGGGUGCGUAGGCGGAUUAAUAAGUCAGUGGUGAAAACCUUCAGCUUAACUGGAGACUUGCCAUUGAUACUGUUAGUCUUGAGUACGGUCAAGGUAGGCGGAAUGUGUAAUGUAGUGGUGAAAUGCUUAGAUAUUACACAGAACACCGAUUGCGAAGGCAGCUUACUGGGCCAUUACUGACGCUGAUGCACGAAAGCGUGGGGAGCGAACAGGAUUAGAUACCCUGGUAGUCC
rnacentral:rRNA from 1 species